rnacentral:rRNA from 1 species
AUUAAUAAAAAUUAAAAGUGACGGGCAAUGUGUACAUAUUUAAAAAUUAAUUUAAAAUAUUUAUUUAAAUAAAUUUAAUUUUAAAUCCAAUUUCCAAAAUAUAUUAAAAUAAAUUAUCCAAAGAAAUUUUUAAAUAUAGUAUUUCAUUAAAAUUUUAAUUAUUAAAUAUAUUAUUAUUUGAAUUUUUUUUUUAAAAAAAAUUUAAAUAAUAAUAUAUUUAUAUUAUUUAUACAACAAUAUAUAAUUUAAAUAAAUUAAAUAAAUUAUAUUGUGGAUUAUCAAUUAAUAAACAAAAUCCUCUAAUUUUAUUAAAUACUGCCAAAAUAUUUAAUUUUCUUUAUUUACAAAUAAUAAUUAAUUUUUUAAAAUAAUAUAUAUAAUA